GCCUGGGUGGCUCAGUGGGUUGAGCAUCUGACUUCAGCUCAGGUCAUGAUCUCACGGUCUGUGGGUUCGAGCCCCGCGUUGGGCU
rnacentral:tRNA from 1 species